rnacentral:rRNA from 1 species
UACGUAGGGGGCUAGCGUUGUCCGGAAUCAUUGGGCGUAAAGCGCGUGUAGGCGGCCCGGUAAGUCCGCUGUGAAAGUCGGGGGCUCAACCCUCGGAUGCCGGUGGAUACUGUCGGGCUAGAGUGCGGAAGAGGCGAGUGGAAUUCCUGGUGUAGCGGUGAAAUGCGCAGAUAUCAGGAAGAACACCCGUGGCGAAGGCGGCUCUCUGGGACGGUACUGACGCUGAGACGCGAAAGCGUGGGGAGCGAACAGG